UGGGGAAUUUUGGACAAUGGGCGAAAGCCUGAUCCAGCAAUGCCGCGUGAGUGAAGAAGGCCUUCGGGUUGUAAAGCUCUUUCGGUGGGGAAGAAAUUGCUUCGAUUAAUACUCGGAGUAGAUGACGGUACCCGCAUAAGAAGCACCGGCUAACUACGUGCCAGCAGCCGCGGUAAUACGUAGGGUGCGAGCGUUAAUCGGAAUUACUGGGCGUAAAGCGUGCGCAGGCGGUUGUGUAAGUCAGAUGUGAAAUCCCCGGGCUCAACCUGGGAACUGCAUUUGAGACUGCACGGCUAGAGUGUAGCAGAGGGGGGUAGAAUUCCACGUGUAGCAGUGAAAUGCGUAGAGAUGUGGAGGAAUACCGAUGGCGAAGGCAGCCCCCUGGGUUACUACUGACGCUCAUGCACGAAAGCGUGGGGAGCAAACA
rnacentral:rRNA from 1 species